rnacentral:rRNA from 1 species
GAGUUUGAUCGUGGCUCAGAUUGAACGCUGGCGGCAUGCCUUACACAUGCAAGUCGAACGGCAGCACGGGAGCUUGCUCCUGGUGGCGAGUGGCGAACGGGUGAGUAAUGCAUCGGAACGUAUCCUGGAGUGGGGGAUAACGUAGCGAAAGUUACGCUAAUACCGCAUAUUCUGUGAGCAGGAAAGCGGGGGACCUUCGGGCCUCGCGCUCUUGGAGCGGCCGAUGUCGGAUUAGCUAGUUGGUGAGGUAAAGGCUCACCAAGGCGACGAUCCGUAGCAGGUCUGAGAGGAUGAUCUGCCACACUGGAACUGAGACACGGUCCAGACUCCUACGGGAGGCAGCAGUGGGAAUUUUGGACAAUGGGGCAACCCUGAUCCAGCCAUGCCGCGUGAGUGAAGAAGGCCUACGGUUG